rnacentral:rRNA from 1 species
GAUGAACGCUGGCGGCGUGCUUAACACAUGCAAGUCGAACGGACAGGCUCCUGCUUUCCUGGUUACUCGAUUGGCGAACGCGUGAGUAACACGUGUGUGAUCUGCCCUUCACUUCGGGAUAAGCCUUGGAAACUGGGUCUCAUACCGGAUAGGACGAUGUUAUGCAUGCCAUUCUGGAAAGUUUUUCGGUUUUGGAUUGGCUCGCGGCCUAUCCGCUUGUUGGUGGGGUAAUUGCCUACCAAGGCGUAGACGGGUAGCCGGCCUGAGAGGGUGUACGGCCACAAUGGGACUGAGAGACGGCCCAGACGCGUACGGGAGGCAGCAGGGGGGAAUAUUGCACAAUGGGGGCAAGCCUGAGGCAGAGACGCCGGGUGGGGGAUGACGGCCUUCGGGGUGUAAACACAUUUCGCUAGGGACGAAGCGGAAGUGACGGUACCUGGAGAAGAAGCACCGGCUAACUACGUG